CUUGAACGCGCACCCAGGAGUCUCCCCGAGUCUAAGUGCACCAGUCUGGGGACGUCCUGGUCCCAUUGUACAGAAGGCUCCAUCCCUGUGAUGAGAAAAUACAAACGGCAUGGCCUUUUCAGGCUGGUAGCUUCCUCUCAAACCCUGCUCUUUCCUGGGCUCGGCUGCAGGAAGGACAGUGGCUCUACCACACACAUGUUCGGACAAGCCCACUGAGUACAAAACUCCAGGCAUCUGGACUUGGCAAGGCCGCUGACACUGAAGAGAAUGUAACAUGCAAGACCAAGGCUGCCCCCAGCCCCACCCCUGCAUCUCCGGGGCCUCAUGUUCCUCACCUGUAAAUGAAGGGGGUGUAAGGAGGAAAACUGGACAACGAUCCCUGAGGCCCCGUCCAGCACAACAUUCUGACUGUAAGCAGAGAAGAUGCAAAUACAGUUUAAUCAAAUCUUGCUGGUCAUAACCACUUGCCCACGGUAGCUUUAAACUGAUUUUGCCAAUUUUACUACUUUUAUCACUUGACAGUAUAACAAAGAUAGGAACAUUGGAUUAAUACAACACUUUUUAGAAGUUUCAGAGGCUAGCAAAUUUUCAGCUUGGCUAAUUUGUAUGGCAACACUAUCCCAAAUGAAGGCAUGCAGACGAGAGGCUGGAAACACAGCAAACCCAGCGCCCUCAUCAAAUGUUCGCACUGUGCCAGAUCCUGGCUAAGUAUUUAUAGUGUUUUAUAUCAUGCCCUACAAUCCCAUGACAUAGAUCUGAUUACUCCCUAAAUUUUACUUGUGUAAAAAAGAUCUGUUAGAAAAACAAGAUUUGUGGUGUGAAGAGCAAAAGUUGUUUUCCACUGCGGUGUGUGCCUAAGGGCAAGCCACCCAGCUGCUCUGUCUCAAUGCCUCCACCUAUGCAACAGGAAAAUAGCCCCUGUCUCGUUCACUCACUCAACAACCAGUGACUGAGCACUCCCAGAUGUGCCAGGCACUGUGGGAGGUGCUUGGGAUCUUGGUGAACAAAACGGAUUAAAAGGACAAAAAGCCAUCAUGGCGUUGCUUAUACCUCGAACAAGGAAAGCAGAUAAUUCGUGCUGAGAACGCAGGGGGUGCUUGAUCAACCUUAGCGCCCUCUCUUCCCCCUUCAGAAAUGGAAAAAGCAUUAGAAAACAAAUCCAACAGAAGCCAGUUAAGUCAGACCCGAAACAGAAAUUUUUACCUAAUAAACAAAUACCAAAGAGCAAAGAUUAAGAGCAUUUGUGCUGGUGUCCUCUGGCCUAGGCUCAAAUUCUGACUCUGUCACUUCUUGCUGGAGUGACCCCAGGCAAGUUAUUUAAACUCCACUAAGCGUCAACUUCC
rnacentral:lncRNA from 1 species